AUUGGGCUAGAGUGUGGGAGAGGAAGAUGGAAUUAGUUGUGUAGGGGUAAAAUCCGUAGAGAUAACUAGGAAUACCAAAAGCGAAGGCAAUCUUCUGGAACACUACUGACGCUGAGGCGCGAAGGCGUGGGGAGCAAACAGGAUUAGAUACCCUGGUAGUCCACGCAGUAAACGAUGAAUGUUAGUCGUCGGGUAGCUAGUCUAUUCGGUGAUGCAGCUAACGCAUUAAACAUUCCGCCUGGGGAGUACGGUCGCAAGAUUAAAACUCAAAGGAAUAGACGGGGACCCGCACAAGUGGUGGAGCUUGUGGUUUAAUUCGAAGAUACGCGAAGAACCUUACCUAGCCUUGACAUAUAUUAGAACAGACCAGAGAUGGACUGGUGCCUUCGGGAGCUUUUAUACAGGUGCUGCACGGCUGUCGUCAGCUCGUGUCGUGAGAUGUUGGGUUAAGUCCCGCAACGAGCGCAACCCUCGUCACUAGUUACUAACGGUUCGGCCGAGGACUCUAGUGAGACUGCCUUCGCAAGGAGGAGGAAGGUGAGGACGACGUCAAGUCAUCAUGGCCCUUACGGCUAGGGCAACACACGUGCUACAAUGGCCAGGACAAUGAGACGCGAUACCGCGAGGUGGAGCAAAUCUAUAAACCUGGUCUCAGUUCGGAUUGUAGUCUGCAACUCGACUACAUGAAGCUGGAAUCACUAGUAAUCG
rnacentral:rRNA from 1 species